UACAGAGGGUGCGAGCGUUAAUCGGAAUUACUGGGCGUAAAGCGCGCGUAGGCGGCUUUGCAAGUCGGGUGUGAAAUCCCCAGGCUUAACCUGGGAACUGCAUUCGAGACUGCAUUGCUAGAGUAUGGGAGAGGGAAGUGGAAUUUCCGGUGUAGCGGUGAAAUGCGCAGAUAUUAGGAGGAACACCCGUGGCGAAAGCGGCUCUCUGGGACGGUACUGACGCUGAGACGCGAAAGCGUGGGGAGCAAACAGG
rnacentral:rRNA from 1 species